rnacentral:tmRNA from 1 species
AGACUGGAAGUUAUGCCCUCGAAGGUUUAUAUCAGGGAUGUCAGGUCCGCCUGACUAUGAUCGUAGAGGCAGAGUGGAAUAGGCGUUUAGGACGCGGGUUCGAUUCCCGCCGCCUCCACCACAAACGCAUCAACCGUCCAGCUCCGGCAGGAAAGGUUUAAGCGAAUGGCUUCCAGCUGGGGCAGGUCGCUACCUUGGUGUAUUUGUGACGGGGGCGAUAUGGGUUCGACUGGGCGCGAUAAAGACUAGGCUGCGGUUAGGCUGAGCUACGGCCUCAACAGUGCAAAUUCAUAAAUGCCAACGACAACGUUGACAUGGGUGCGGUGCGCCUCGCGGCGUAACCAUCCGGGGCUCGGGAAAGCCUAGCAACAGAAACGGCACCUA